rnacentral:lncRNA from 1 species
GAGACCAGCCUGGGUAACAUAGCGAGACCCUCUCUCUACAAAAAAUUUUUUUUUUUGUUUUGAGACGGAGUCUUGCUCUGUUGCCCAGGCUGGAGUGCAGUGGCACGAUCUCAGCUCACUGCAAGCUCCGCCUCCUGAGUUCACACCAUUCUCCUGCCUCAGCCUCCUGAGUAGCUGGGACUAAAGGUGCCUGCCACCUCGCCUGGCUAAUUUUUUGUAUUUUUAGUAGAGACGGGGUUUCACCGUAUUAGCCAGGCUGGUCUCGAUCUCCUGACCUCGUGAUCCACCCGCCUCGGCCUCCCAAAGUGCUGGGAUUACAGGCGUGAGCCACUGUGCCCAGCCUCAAAAAAUUUUUUUAGAAUUAACCAUGCGCAAUGGUGUGUAUCUGUAGUCCAAGCUACUUGGGAGGCUGAGGCAGAAGGAUCACUUGAGCCUGGGAGGUCAAGGUUGCAGAGAGCUAUGAUGGUGCCACUGCGCUCCAGCCUGGACAACAGAGUGAGACCUAUCUCAAAAAACAAACAAAUGAGCAAAAGCACAAAUAAUUGCUGAGUUUGGGGCUGAUGAGUUUACAAGCAAUGGCCAAACCCAAAGCACUGCUUUUUUUUCUUUUUUUUUUUUUUUGAGACGAAGUCUUGCUCUGUCGCCCAGGCUGGAGUGCAGUGGCAUGAUCUUGGCUCACUGCAACCUCCGCCUCCCGGGUUCAUGCAAUUCUCCUACCUCAGCCUCCCAUGUAGCUGGGACUACAGGUGUGUGCCACCACGUCCAGCUAAUUUUAAAAUUUUUAGUAGGGACGGAGUUUCACCAUGUUAGCCAGGCUGGUCCCGAACUCCUGAUCUCAAGUGGUCCUCCUGCCUUGGCCUCCCAAAGUGCUGGGAUUACAGGCAAGAGCUAUAAGCACUGCUAUUUAUAGGUGUAGAGGGCCUGAAGAAUGGAAUCCAAGGAUUAAAUCACUUGUUCUGCCAGCCCCCUCUAGGGAGACAGGAUGUAACAGUCUGGAAAGGAAAGGUUGGGAUCUAAUGCUCCCCGUGUACCUCCUAAAGCCUGCCUCCUCGCUCCUGUGGGCCCGAAAAAGCCCAGUUUCUGCCCCUGGAUGGCCAUCCCUUGGGCACCGGAACGUUGGACUUUAACAAGAUCCUUUCCCUCUGGGUUCAGGUCCUUUCCUGGAGUCAGUUCCAUGUUUCUGUCACUCUCUGGUGGCCAAGCAGGACAGCUCAACACUCCUUUUUCGCCCAGUGAAUUUCCAAAGAUACUUAACCCGACAGUUCAAAAACUGCCCAGGAGCUGGAUGCCAGGAUACGGAGAUGAAUAUAGCUUUGGACUUUCCCUAGGAAAGGGGUGAGAGUGGAUGGAAAUCUAUUCUUUCAUCUACUCAUUUAACAAAUAUUUAUUGAGCACCUGCAGAGAACAGUAAACAAGACACAUGAAGCCCUUGCCUUCCAAGAACACAAACUCUAGUGUAUGUUAAAUACAUAAGCAAAUAUGUUGACAUGGUGAUAAAGUCUAUGAAUUAAAUAAAACAGGGGGCAAGGUGUGGUGGCUCACACCUGUAAUCCCAGUACUUCAGGAGCCAAGAUGGGAGGAUUGCUUGAGGCCAGGAGUUCGAGACCAGUCUGGGCAACAUAGUGAAACCCCAUCUCUAAAAAAAAAAAAAAAAAAA